rnacentral:lncRNA from 1 species
CGUCGGCGUCGGGAACAGCAGCGGCGGCGGGAGCGUGGUGCUGACAGGCCGUGGGAGAAAUGGGAGACCCAGGGCCGGAGAUAAUAGAAUCUGUCCCACCAGCUGGGCCCGAGCCAUCAGAGUCAACGGCGGAUGAAAACGAAGAUGACAUUCAGUUUGUUAGUGAAGGACCGUUAAGACCCGUUCUUGAAUAUAUUGAUCUGGUCAGCAGUGAUGAUGAAGAGCCUAGUACCUCUCACAGUGAUAGAAUGCCUGAAUCUAAGGUGCCAUCCUCUGAGAAUCAUCGCCCAGAAAUGUGCUCUAGCUGCAGUGUUCCUCUUCCCAUUGGAGACAGCAGUUCCUCCUCUGGGAGCUGUGCCAGCAGUCCACAAAGAAUAGUUUCUCAACCUUCUUCUGUUGAGAACCCACUGGAGAACCAGAAAAAUGAUCAGAAUAAUUCCGAUGCUAGUGUCUCUGAAAAAGAGACACUCAAAUCACAAAGUGACCAGACUCUGCCUUCAGCCCAGGAGGCUUUGGCUUUUUCUGAGGUCAAAGAGGAUUUACCUGGCACAAUGUCUUCAACUUCACAGAGUGGACAGGAUGCCAUCCUGUAUCUCCAGACACAAGUGGCUGAGAUGUCCCGAGUCAUACGUGAUCUG